CUCCCAAAGUGCUGGGAUUACAGGCGUGAGCCACUGCGCCCAGCCACCUAUGUCCUCUUUUCUACAGGUUAGAAGCAAGGCACAAGUCAUACCUACAUUCAAGGAGAGGAGACCAUGCAAAGGAUAAACUUCAGAGAGACAACAGAUUUACAUCCCAGACACAUUCACACUGGGCAAAGAGCAGCUGCCAUUGCAGAUUUGAGUCACGUCCUUUUUUCCCUCCUUCUCCUUCUUGGAGUUACAGCAGAAGCUGGGGAGGUGAGAGUGCAGAAAGGACAUGGAUGAAGCAGAGAGGCAUGUGCCUGUCUCAUUCGCCUCUGGAUCUGCUGCAUCCAGGACCAUGUCAGCACAAAGUGGGAGCCCGAUAAAUAUUUAUUGAAGAAAUGAAAGGUGACAAAAGGCAGAAGGAGGGAGACCCCCAAAAGAGACCCCAGGCUCCAGAAGCAGAUGAGGAGACAAACAGAAGAGCAGAAGAAUGGCAGAAUGGCACAGCAGAGAGAAGAAAAGGAACAUCUGAAUGUUGACAGGAAUUUGGCUGGGGGCGGUUAGAGAGGAGAUUAGCCACUAGACAGCCAAACUCCAGGGGAAGAUCAUCUUCCCACUCCAUCCCCCUUCCAGCUCCCCAUCCAUCCUGCUGAGAGCCACCUCCACCACUCAAUGAAACCCCUGCAUUCAUCCUUCAAGUUUAUGUGUGGCCUGAUUCUUCCUGGACACUGGACAAAGACCUAGGUCCGGUGAACUGUCUAACAUUUAAGUCAUCCAUGGACAGCAAGGCUAACAGAACGCUGUAACAUGUGCCCACUUGGAACCUAUGCCCCUGUCACACAUCAUGGGACAGGGGUCAGGGAACUCUCCCAUUUCACUUUCAAAUAUUCCAGGUCCCCUUUUUGUUUGGGAGCCAGAGUCUAGUGGAGACAGAGAUAGAAAGCCUGAAAUAGGAUCCAGGCAAUAUAAACCUACAUGCUGUAAGCCAAGUCAGAGUGAGGCUGAUGUGAUAACAAAAGUCUGAAUAAAAGGUGGGAGACAAUUAGUCUGACUGAAAGGGAGGCAAGAGUUCUGCCAUAGGCUCGAUGCUAUGUGCCCCUGGCUUCCUAGCUCAUUUGCAAAUGGAAAAUACUAUUGCAUUGUAGGAAUCUUCUUUUUCCAUUUGUCUGGGGAAGGAGAAAGAAUGGCUGGGCUGAAUGAAUUUAUCCCUUGUUCCUCUUCCAACAAAGCUCAGCUAUGAAAGAUAAAUCCAGCUCUCCCCACCCUCUCUCAGUGGAGCUGGGGAGAAAUCAAAAGCCCCUCUGCCAAUAAUGAGACCAAAGUUUGCAAGGGCAGGACGAGCCCAUGCUAACGGAGAAAGUGUUGUUUCCUCAAUUUGGUUUUAGACUGUCUUGUCCUAUGGGGGAGAAAAGGUCUGCCCUUGGGAGAGGUGCCAACUUUAUAGAUCUAUUAAUAAAAGAACUGGCAGGCUUACAGUUCUUGCCAAUGAGGAAACUUGAAUGAGAGAAGCCAGGCUCAACCUUGGCCAACAGACUGGAGCCCAUCACCCUAACUUCACCCCGCUUCUCCUUACCCAAGCAUCCAAGGCUAGGCAGCACCCACCCAGCAGCUUCCACCUGGCCAAAGCCUGCACCUGCUCCACACCAAGGGUUAGAUGGAAAUUUGGCAUAGGGAGAGAGGGCUCACCUGUGGGCAGGAUAGACUCUAUUCAAGAAGGAGACCUGAAAAAUUAAAACCUAUGAGACAAGGGGUGAUCCUGAAGGCGGGCAGGAGAAAGGGCUGGAGGGAGAGGCCACUGGGGAAUUUUUCCUGGUGAAUACUGAAGUUACUAGAUGUUUUGUCUUGCAAAACUCAAGGGAAAACUCUCAAACUCUAACGUUUGUCUAUUCUGUGUCCAAAUUGUCCUUUUGAAACAAACCCACCUUUCAGUAAAGAAACUUGCAUUGGCCUUCCC
rnacentral:sRNA from 1 species